rnacentral:rRNA from 1 species
GGCGAUCAGAUACCGCCCUAGUUCUGACCGUAAACGAUGCCAACUAGCGAUCCGCCAGUCGACUCAUCGCUCUGGUGGGGAGCUUCCCGGAAACGAAAGUCUUCCGGUUCCGGGGGAAGUAUGGUUGCAAAGCUGAAACUUAAAGGAAUUGACGGAAGGGCACCACCAGGAGUGGAGCCUGCGGCUUAAUUUGACUCAACACGGGGAAACUCACCCGGCCCGGACACCGUAAGGAUUGACAGAUUGAUAGCUUUUUCAUGAUUCGGUGGAUGGUGGUGCAUGGCCGUUCUUAGUUCGUGGAGCGAUUUGUCUGGUUUAUUCCGAUAACGAGCGAGACUCUGGCCUACUAAAUAGUUGACGCAUUGCCACUGUGCGCACAACUUCUUAGAGGGAUUUUCGGUGUUUUCAACCGCACGAAAUUGAGCAAUAACAGGUCUGUGAUGCCCUUAGAUGUCCGGGGCUGCACGCGCGCUACACUGGCAAACGCAACGUGCCUGUCCUGCCCCGAAAGGAGCGGGUAAACCCCUGAAAUUUUGCCGUGAUUGGGAUCGGACAUUGCAACUAUUGUCCGUGAACGAGGAAUUCCUCGUAGGGGCGAGUCAUCAACUCGUCCCGAAUACGUCCCUGCCCUUGUA